AUACGGAGGAUCCGAGCGUUAUCCGGAUUUAUUGGGUUUAAAGGGUGCGCAGGCGGCCAUUUAAGUCGGCGGUUAAAUCGUGGGGCUCAACCCCAUUUUGCCGUUUAUACUGGGUGGCUUGGUUGCGGUCGAGGUUGGCGGACUUCGCUGUGUGGCGGUGAAAUGCAUAGAUAUGACGAAGAACACCGAUUGCGUAGGCAGCUGACCAGACCGCAAAUGACGCUCAUGCACGAAAGUGCGGGGAUCGAACAGGAUUAGAUACCCUGAUAGUCCGCACAGUAAACGAUGAAUACUUGUUUUCGGCGAUAUAAUGUCGGAGGCAAAGCGAAAGCGAUAAGUAUUCCACCUGGGGAGUACGCCGGCAACGGUGAAACUCAAAUGAAUUGACGGGG
rnacentral:rRNA from 1 species